rnacentral:rRNA from 1 species
UACGUAGGGGGCAAGCGUUGUCCGGAAUUAUUGGGCGUAAAGAGCUCGUAGGCGGUCUGUUGCGUCCGCUGUGAAAACUCGGGGCUUAACCCCGAGCCUGCAGUGGAUACGGGCAGACUUGAGUUCGGUAGGGGAGACUGGAAUUCCUGGUGUAGCGGUGAAAUGCGCAGAUAUCGGGAGGAACACCAGUGGCGAAGGCGGUUACCUGGAGCUUUGCUGACGCUGAUGCGCGAAAGCGUGGGGAGCGAUCAGG